ACCAUCCUUUCCUUGGGGUUGUGCUGCUGUCCAGUGGGCAUGCAGUGAGGGCAGUACUGCGGACCCCUAACCAACACACUCGCACCGACCAGAGCUCUGCUGUACCUUGGUGCAGUGUUUGCAAAA